AUUGAACGCUGGCGGCAUGCUUUACACAUGCAAGUCGAACGGCAGCGCGGGCUUCGGCCUGGCGGCGAGUGGCGAACGGGUGAGUAAUGCAUCGGAACGUGCCCAGUAGUGGGGGAUAGCCCGGCGAAAGCCGGAUUAAUACCGCAUACGACCUGAGGGUGAAAGCGGGGGACCGAAAGGCCUCGCGCUAUUGGAGCGGCCGAUGUCGGAUUAGCUAGUUGGUGGGGUAAAGGCUUACCAAGGCGACGAUCCGUAGCUGGUCUGAGAGGACGACCAGCACACUGGGACUGAGACACGGCCCAGACUCCUACGGGAGGCAGCAGUGGGGAAUUUUGGACAAUGGGGGCAACCCUGAUCCAGCCAUGCCGCGUGCGGGAAGAAGGCCUUCGGGUUGUAAACCGCUUUUGUUCGGGAAGAAAUCCUCUGGGCUAAUACCCCGGGGGGAUGACGGUACCGGAAGAAUAAGCACCGGCUAACUACGUG
rnacentral:rRNA from 1 species